GCAAGUCGAAGCGGCAGCGGGAAGUAGCUUGCUACUUUGCCGGCGAGCGGCGGACGGGUGAGUAAUGUCUGGGAAACUGCCUGAUGGAGGGGGAUAACUACUGGAAACGGUAGCUAAUACCGCAUGACCUCGCAAGAGCAAAGUGGGGGACCUUCGGGCCUCACGCCAUCGGAUGUGCCCAGAUGGGAUUAGCUAGUAGGUGAGGUAAUGGCUCACCUAGGCGACGAUCCCUAGCUGGUCUGAGAGGAUGACCAGCCACACUGGAACUGAGACACGGUCCAGACUCCUACGGGAGGCAGCAGUGGGGAAUAUUGCACAAUGGGCGCAAGCCUGAUGCAGCCAUGCCGCGUGUGUGAAGAAGGCCUUCGGGUUGUAAAGCACUUUCAGCGAGGAGGAAGGGUUCAGUGUUAAUAGCACUGUUCAUUGACGUUACUCGCAGAAGAAGCACCGGCUAACUCCGUGCCAGCAGCCGCGGUAAUACGGAGGGUGCAAGCGUUAAUCGGAAUUACUGGGCGUAAAGCGCACGCAGGCGGUUUGUUAAGUCAGAUGUGAAAUCCCCGAGCUUAACUUGGGAACUGCAUUUGACACUGGCAAGCUAGAGUCUUGUAGAGGGGGGUAGAAUUCCAGGUGUAGCGGUGAAAUGCGUAGAGAUCUGGAGGAAUACCGGUGGCGAAGGCGGCCCC
rnacentral:rRNA from 1 species